rnacentral:rRNA from 1 species
UACGUAGGGGGCAAGCGUUGUCCGGAAUCAUUGGGCGUAAAGCGCACGUAGGCGGCCCUGUAAGUCCGUUGUGAAAGUCAAAGGCUCAACCUUUGAAUGCCGAUGGAUACUGGCGAGCUAGAGUACGGUAGAGGAAGGUGGAAUUCCCGGUGUAGCGGUGAAAUGCGUAGAGAUCGGGAGGAACACCAGUGGCGAAGGCGGCCUUCUGGACCAGUACUGACGCUGAGGCACGAAAGCGUGGGGAGCAAACAGG